rnacentral:lncRNA from 1 species
GACUUCUUACUUGUUUGCUUUAUUUUUUUCCCCUAUUUUCCUUGGUUUUUGGCUCUAAACUUGUUUCUUCAAGGUCAAAUUUCAUAUUUUUCCUCUUUUUAACUUCCUUUUUCCUUUUUUUUCUUGGUCUUUGCUCAAAUCUCAUGCAUUUCCUUUACUUGGUUCCUUUCAUUUUUUCACAAGUCUUCGAUUUUCCUUUUAAGCAUGUUUGAACCAUUCUUCCAUCUUGGUUAUUGAGUGUGCU